rnacentral:rRNA from 1 species
CUACGGGUCGCUCCAGUGAGGAAUAUUGCACAAUGGGGGGAACUCUGAUGCAGCAACGCCGCGUGGAGGAUGACACUUUUCGGAGCGUAAACUCCUUUUAUAUGUCAAGAAAAUGACGGUAGCAUAUGAAUAAGCACCGGCUAACUCCGUGCCAGCAGCCGCGGUAAUACGGAGGGUGCAAGCGUUACUCGGAAUCACUGGGCGUAAAGGACGCGUAGGCGGGAUAUCAAGUCAGGUGUGAAAUCCUACAGCUUAACUGUAGAACUGCACUUGAAACUGGUAACCUGGAGUAUGGGAGGGGGAGAUGGAAUUAGUGGUGUAGGGGUAAAAUCCGUAGAUAUCACUAGGAAUACCUAAAGCGAAGGCGAUCUCCUGGAACAUAACUGACGCUAAGGCGUGAAAGCGUGGGGAGCAAACAGGAUUAGAUACCCCAGUAGUC